GAUAUUUUGGAUGUAAAUUCUGAGAGAAAAAUACCUGGUGUGAGCAUGUGGGCCACGGAUUUAAAAUGUAAAUAUAGAUCUACACAAAGUCUUCACAUUUUCACAACGUCGUUUACGUUUUGCGUCAUCAUUAAUUACGUGCGACGUCACCACAAGAUACAACAUAGGUUGAUUGGUUGUAUAAAGUCACAUGACCAUUAGGUGUGAGAGCAGAACCUGUGCAAACAUGACCGAUUAUUUCUACUGCUUCUUCUGCUCGUCUGUGAUGCUAAAAAUGGUGACGGAAUCCUGUUUGUUGGGAUUUAAAGACUACGCCUACUGCAAUGACAAGAAGCGACGCUAGAGUAGUGCUUCAGAGCCUCCGGCAGCUCCAGCCAGUCGAUGGCCAUCCUAUGGACUAUGUGCUUCUGAAUGGCUUUCCUACACAAAGUCUGGAGGGAAGAAACUGGAGUGACAGGAAAAUUAAGAAAUUGUAGGAUCAUUGAUGAAACACUGUACUUUCAACUGUAGUGAUUUAAUUAAGAUGACU